UGGGGAAUAUUGCGCAAUGGGGGGAACCCUGACGCAGCCAUGCCGCGUGAAUGAAGAAGGCCUUAGGGUUGUAAAGUUCUUUCGGUAUUGAGGAAGGUUGAUGUGUUAAUAGCACAUCAAAUUGACGUUAAAUACAGAAGAAGCACCGGCUAACUCCGUGCCAGCAGCCGCGGUAAUACGGAGGGUGCGAGCGUUAAUCGGAAUAACUGGGCGUAAAGGGCACGCAGGCGGUUAUUUAAGUGAGGUGUGAAAGCCCCGGGCUUAACCUGGGAAUUGCAUUUCAGACUGGGUAACUAGAGUACUUUAGGGAGGGGUAGAAUUCCACGUGUAGCGGUGAAAUGCGUAGAGAUGUGGAGGAAUACCGAAGGCGAAGGCAGCCCCUCGGGAAUGUACUGACGCUCAUGUGCGAAAGCGUGGGGAGCAAACAGGAUUAGAUACCCUGGUAGUCCACGCUGUAAACGCUGUCGAUUUGGGGGUUGGGGUUUAACUCUGGCGCCCGUAGCUAACGUGAUAAAUCGACCGCCUGGGGAGUACGGCCGCAAGNUUA
rnacentral:rRNA from 1 species